UACCAGCACCCCGAGUGGUCGGGACGAUUAUUGGGCCUAAAGCAUCCGUAGCCGGUCAUGCAAGUCUUCCGUUAAAUCCAGCCGCUCAACGGUUGGGCUGCGGAGGAUACUACGUGGCUAGGAGGCGGGAGAGGCAAGCGGUACUCAGUGGGCAGGGGUAAAAUCCUUUGAUCCAUUGAAGACCACCAGUGGCGAAGGCGGCUUGCCAGAACGCGCUCGACGGUGAGGGAUGAAAGCUGGGGGAGCAAACCGG
rnacentral:rRNA from 1 species